rnacentral:lncRNA from 1 species
AAACCCAUUCCUUCCGAAACAGUGAAACAGCAUGCAACACGAAUGCACACGGGUUGCUCCAUCUAACAAAUACUGUGCUGGAUAUGAACUAGAAAUUUUAUGUUUGGCACACCGCCUCAUGCAUUUCUGAGGCAAGGCCAUUUUUACUUGCUAAAUAGACUGCGAUCGUUUUUACUACUGUAGUUCCCCCACGACCCUUUUUAUUUCUCAUACAUUGUAUAGGUAUGCGGCCACCGACACGCCGAUUUGACAAAUCCAAGACCAAGGCCAAGGCCUUGUUGUAGUUGCAGCUGGUUACGAACCCCCAAAACAAACACCAAGGCCUCACCAAAACUGGCUCAGCUUGAGAAACAUUAUGGCCCCAGCCAAUCAUCCCCAAAACCCACAAGCAUUAGCGCUUAAUCAGUUCCACUUGUUAAGUGGCUUGCUUUCCCAUCUCUACACGGCAUCAGCUGCCAGGUGCUACCUCCACCGCUCCUGGCGCUGCCAUCCAGCACUUUUGGCUCUCCACAUUAUCGCCGCUGUGCUCGCACACAUCCGUACAUGAGUGAUCACCGACCCGGAAAGGUAAACCACCGCAGGCCAUUAUUCACCCCUCACCGCACUACCUCCUCUUCCCCUACACGCACACGUACGCAAACCUACUACCGCAUGAAUCCUCACCACACACUCCCCCUCCUCCUCCACAAGUACCUCCCCUGUAGGGGCUACACGCAUCAUAUGCGCCACAGGAUCCGCUUCUGCUUAACGAAAAGCUGAGUAAUCAACGGACCGGAAUGCAACGCUGGCAUCUACACCAACGGACCGUCCGUGAUUCGUAGUGAGGCCAGAGGUCCACAUGGAAUAUGCAAACCGGACGCUCUACACCACCUCUAUAUUCGCUUUCUGCUUCCGUCCCCUGCCAAGAAAGAGAUGGAUCGCAGAGGCUAAGAUAAAAAUUUGUCCACAAAAUUGUCUGGCGAGUACGGCAAGGGUACAGCACAGGUACAGAGAGCUGAGAGGUGGGGCAGGCUGCGAUAUAGAAUGUGAGACGAAGAGGAACGCCAGGUAGGAGAGAGUGUGAGGAUGAUGUGGCGACAGCCACAGGCAAGCAUAAUGAUUUGACCUAACAGGGCUGGGGACGGUGGCAGUAGGGCACGGCAACCCCGGGCCACGUGGCUACCGCUCGCAC